rnacentral:lncRNA from 1 species
UUUUGUCUCCCGUACGUAUCAAAUGUUUAAUCAGAGUCAGCAGUUUGAUGCGGCAAAUAAUGUGAAACUGCUGAAGUGGCAGAGCUAGGAUUCAUCUACUAGCAGCUCUCACAUAAGCCUCAACCGAACAGGUCAGAUUCUGUGUCCACUCCAAGGUAUAGCAAAAGUAAAAACCAAUAGCACCAGGUAGUGUUCGCUUCCGCAGCUAAAAACUGUACAGAAUCUUAGUCAUAGAUAAUGCUUGGAUCGGAACGCAUCUCGCUCAAUAGUCAAUACUCAAUACACAUGGAGUUCCAAGUUCACUUUGCACCCUGUUUGUUGGAGCACCGGGUCUAAAAAGAGCUGGUCCGAUUGUCCGACAGACCACACUGUUUGCCAACCCAACUUUUGGAUGCCUGGCUAUAACCCAACAAAAAAGCGGAAGACAUCGACCAAGAGCUCGGCGGGGC